AUUGAACGCUGGCGGCAGGCCUAACACAUGCAAGUCGAGCGGAUGAAGGGAGCUUGCUCCUGGAUUCAGCGGCGGACGGGUGAGUAAUGCCUAGGAAUCUGCCUGGUAGUGGGGGAUAACGCCCGGAAACGGGCGCUAAUACUGCAUAAGUCCUGAUGGAGAUAGUGGGGGAGCUUUGGACCUCACGCUAUCAGAUGAGCGUAGGUCGGAUUAGCUAGCUGGUGGGGUAAAGGCCUACCAAGGCGACGAUCCGUAACUGGUCUGAGAGGAUGAUAAGUCACACUGGAACUGAGACACGGUCCAGACUCCUACGGGAGGCAGCAGUGGGGAAUAUUGGACAAUGGGCGAAAGCCUGAUCCAGCCAUGCCGCGUGUGUGAAGAAGGUCUUCGGAUUGGAAAGCACGUUAAGUUGGGAGGAAGGGCAGUAAGUUAAUACCUUGCUGUUUUGACGUUACCAACAGAAUAAGCACCGGCUAACUUCGUG
rnacentral:rRNA from 1 species